GAUGAACGCUGGCGGCGUGCCUAACACAUGCAAGUCGAGCGAACAGAUAAGGCGCUUGCUGCUUUGACGUUAGGGGCGGACGGGUGAGUAACAUGUGGGUAACGUACCUAUAAGACUGGUAUAACUCCGGGAAACCGGGGCUAAUGCCGGAUAACAUUUAGAUCCGCAGGGUUCUAUAGUGAAAGAUGGAUUUGCUAUAACUUAUAGAUGGACCUGCGCCGUAUGAGCUAGUUGGUAAGGUAAAGGCCUACCAAGGGAAGGAUACGUAGACGACCUGACAGGGUGACCGGCCACACGAGAGCGUGGACACGGUCCAGACUCCUACGGGAGGCAGCAGUAGGGAAUCGGACGCAAUGGGCGAGAGUCUGACGGAGCGACGCCGCGUGAGAUAUGAAGAUCUCCGGAGCGUAAUACUCGGUUAUGAGGUAAGAACAAAUGUGUAAGGAGCUGUGCACGUCGUGACGGUACCUAGUCAGAAAGCCACGGCUAACUACGUG
rnacentral:rRNA from 1 species